CCUACGGGAGGCAGCAGUGGGGAAUAUUGCACAAUGGGGGAAACCCUGAUGCAGCGACGCCGCGUGAGUGAAGAAGUAUUUCGGUAUGUAAAGCUCUAUCAGCAGGGAAGAAAAUGACGGUACCUGACUACGAAGCCCCGGCUAACUACGUGCCAGCAGCCGCGGUCAUACGUAGGGGGCAAGCGUUAUCCGGAUUUACUGGGUGUAACGGGGGCGUAGGUGGCAUGGUAAGCCAGAAGUGAAAACCCGGGGCUCAACCCCGCGGAUUGCUUUUGGAACUAUCAGGCUGGAGUGCUGGAGGGGUAAGCGGAAUUCCUAGUGUAGCGGUGAAAUGCGUAGAUAUUAGGAGGAACACCGGUGGCGAAGGCGGCUUACUGGACAGAAACUGACACUGAGGCUCGAAAGCGUGGGGAGCAAACAGGAUUAGAUACCCUAGUAGUC
rnacentral:rRNA from 1 species